UACGGAGGGUGCAAGCGUUAUCCGGAUUUACUGGGUUUAAAGGGCUCGUAGGCGGCCAACUAAGUCAUACGUGAAAUCCCUCAGCUUAACUGGGGAACUGCGUGUGAUACUGGAUGGCUUGGAUUUGGGAGAGGGAUGCGGAAUUCCAGGUGUAGCGGUGAAAUGCGUAGAUAUCUGGAGGAACACCGGUGGCGAAGGCGGCAUCCUGGACCAAUAUUGACGCUGAGGAGCGAAAGCCAGGGGAGCAAACGGG
rnacentral:rRNA from 1 species